rnacentral:hammerhead_ribozyme from 1 species
AUCCAGCUGACGAAUCCUAAAUAGGACGAAACGCGCGUUUUGGAU